rnacentral:misc_RNA from 1 species
GAAAUGCGAUAAGUAAUGUGAAUUGCAGAAUUCAGUGAAUCAUCGAAUCUUUGAACGCACAUUGCGCCCCCUGGUAUUCCGGGGGGCAUGCCUGUUCGAGCGUCAUUUCACCACUCAAGCCUCGCUAGGUAUUGGGCAACGCGGUCCGCCGCGUGCCUCAAAUCGACCGGCUGGGUCUUCUGUCCCCUAAGCGUUGUGGAAACUAUUCGCUAAAGGGUGUUCGGGAGGCUACGCCGUAAAACAACCCCAUUUCUAAGGUUGACCUCGGAUCAGGUAGGGAUACCCGCUGAACUUAAGC